rnacentral:rRNA from 1 species
AACGAACGCUGGCGGCAGGCCUAACACAUGCAAGUCGAGCGAGCAUUUCGGUGCUAGCGGCGGACGGGUGAGUAACGCGUGGGAACGUGCCCUUUUCUGCGGAAUAGUCCUGGGAAACUGGGGGUAAUACCGCAUACGCCCUUUUGGGGAAAGAUUUAUCGGAGAAGGAUCGGCCCGCGUUGGAUUAGGUAGUUGGUGGGGUAAUGGCCCACCAAGCCGACGAUCCAUAGCUGGUUUGAGAGGAUGAUCAGCCACACUGGGACUGAGACACGGCCCAGACUCCUACGGGAGGCAGCAGUGGGGAAUCUUAGACAAUGGGGGCAACCCUGAUCUAGCCAGGCCGCGUGAGUGAUGAAGGCCUUAGGGUUGUAAAGCUCUUUCAGCUGGGAAGAUAAUGACGGUACCAGCAGAAGAAGCCCCGGCUAACUCCGUG